rnacentral:rRNA from 1 species
GGUAACCUGCCUUGUAGCGGGGGAUAACUAUUGGAAACGAUAGCUAAUACCGCAUAACAAUGGAUGACACAUGUCAUUUAUUUGAAAGGGGCAAUUGCUCCACUACAAGAUGGACCUGCGUUGUAUUAGCUAGUAGGUGAGGUAACGGCUCACCUAGGCGACGAUACAUAGCCGACCUGAGAGGGUGAUCGGCCACACUGGGACUGAGACACGGCCCAGACUCCUACGGGAGGCAGCAGUAGGGAAUCUUCGGCAAUGGGGGCAACCCUGACCGAGCAACGCCGCGUGAGUGAAGAAGGUUUUCGGAUCGUAAAGCUCUGUUGUAAGUCAAGAACGAGUGUGAGAGUGGAAAGUUCACACUGUGACGGUAGCUUACCAGAAAGGGACGGCUAACUACGUGCCAGCAGCCGCGGUAAUACGUAGGUCCCGAGCGUUGUCCGGAUUUAUUGGGCGUAAAGCGAGCGCAGGCGGUUUGAUAAGUCUGAAGUUAAAGGCUGUGGCUCAACCAUAGUUCGCUUUGGAAACUGUCAAACUUGAGUGCAGAAGGGGAGAGUGGAAUUCCAUGUGUAGCGGUGAAAUGCGUAGAUAUAUGGAGGAACACCGGUGGCGAAAGCGGCUCUCUGGUCUGUAACUGACGCUGAGGCUCGAAAGCGUGGGGAGCGAACAGGAUUAGAUACCCUGGUAGUCCACGCCGUAAACGAUGAGUGCUAGGUGUUGGAUCCUUUCCGGGAUUCAGUGCCGCAGCUAACGCAUUAAGCACUCCGCCUGGGGAGUACGACCGCAAGGUUGAAACUCAAAGGAAUUGA